rnacentral:lncRNA from 1 species
CAGAUGCUACCUGAUUUGUGCUCCAGCUAAUGUCACUCACGUCAGGAGUGUUGCCAAAUGCAAUGAGGUUCAAGCUCCAAGAUGUCCAGAACCAAACGCGAAGAAGAAUUAAUGAAAUGGAUAUAUGCAAAACUCGUCAAGAUUCUCAUUUGGCUACAGCAAAUUAUUUGGCGAGUUGAAAGUUUAGUUGUGUUAAUGAUAUGCUACACCUUCUAUACCUGUAAUGUGCCAAAAAUAACUGAACACUUUAGAUUUCUCUUUAAAUCCAGUAAUAAUCCAUUAAAGAGAUAAAGGUGCCAAUGUGCAGGCAAGUAAACCACAUUGCCAAGUAUACAAGCUAAUACAUUUCCCAGGAUGGAUUUAGAGUUUCCUAUUUCAAGCAAAAUUUACAGAAAGUUAAAUGCACAAAUCUUCAGUGCACAAUUACACGAGUUUAGCAACUAUAUACAUCCAUGUAAACAACACUAUCAUGAUGCAGAACAUUUUUAUCACCCAGGAAAUUACUUCAUGUCCCCUUCCAGUCAAUCCACUCUCCACAGGAAACAACUAGAGUUCUGAUUUUUAUCAUUAUGUACUAGAACUUCACAUCUUAGGAAAUCAUAUAGUGCUGUCUCAUUUGUUUCUUGCUAGUUUAGGCAGUAUCAUUUUUUUGAAAUCCAUUCAUAUUGUUCCAUGUUAUCAGUAAUUUGUUACCUUGAUGUAGCUGAGGAGUAUUCCAUUAUAUGAAUAUACCACAACUUAUGUACCCAUUGUACUCUUGACAUUGGCUAUUGUUAGUAAAGCUUUUGGCUAUUUACUAGUAAAGCUGCUAUAAACAUGCUCAAGUCUUGUUGUAGAAACAUUUUCAUUUCUCAUAGGUAAAUAGUCAGGGAUGGAAUUUCUGAGUCACAACAGAGGUAUAUGCUUAACUUUAUGAAAAUCAUCAAGCUGUUUUCCAAACUGGAUGCUCCAUUACCUACUUCUCUGAGUAAGAUCUGGGAGUUCCACUUACUCCACAUCCUCACCAACAUUUGUUGUUGCCACAACGAAGUGGUGCAAUAGUUUAUUUUUAUUUUCGUUUACAUUUCUCUGAUGAUUAAUGAUAUCAAGCACAUUUUCAUGUGCAAUUCACCAUUUUUUUUAAAUGUCCAAAACUUUCAUUCAGUUGUAAAAAAAAACAACAGUAUCUUUUUAUUAAUGGUUUGCUCUUGUUCUGGGUGAAGUUCAUCAUCGAAUAUAUAUUGCUAAUAUUUUUUCCCACAUUACAGCUAAACUUUUAAUUUUCUUUUGAUGGGCAGAGAAUUUUUGUUGUUUUAUUUUUGUGAAAUCCGAUUUAUUGCUUUUUUGCAGCUAGUGUUUUUUCUUUCAUCUCUAUAAAAUCUUGCCUAGCCUAAGAUUGUAAUAUAGUCUUCUGUGUUUUUUUUCUUCAUAAAACCUUUACAGCUUUAGCUUUUAUAAUUGAAUCUAUAAUUUAUCUACAUUAAUUUUGUGAAUAUUGUGAAUUGUGGCUAAGAAGAUUCAUUAUUUCCAUGGUUAUCUAGUUAUUCCAGCACUGUUUGUUCAAAAAGACUUUCCAUUGAAGUGUCUUUGAGCUUUUAUUGAAAUUAACUGACUAUGUGUGUAUUGAUUUCUUUCUGAGCUUUACUUUGUCCCAGGGAUCAGCUUGUAUAACCUUAUGCUAAUGCAAUACUAUCUUGAUUAUUGUGGCUUGCUGCAGGUCUUGAUAUAAAGUAAUAAUAUAAUUUAUCUGAAUUUGUUCUUUUUCAAGAUAGCUUUGGAAGUUCUUUAUUUCUUGUAUUUUCAUAUAAAUUUUAGAAUAAACUUGUGUAUUUCCACCAAAAAAAUGCAAAUUUCAUUUAGUUUGUAAUUAGGUCUAAUCAAACCAUAUUAAAUCUUCCAGUUCAUUAACAUGUUCUCUAUCUUCAUAAACUUGGGUCUUCUUUAAAUCUCUGAGGAAUAUGUUAGAAUGUUUAGUAGAGUUUCUGUAUCUUUUUGGGUAGUGCAGAGGGGGGCAUAAAGAAAGAAUGGUUAAUGGGUACAAAAAUACAGUUAAAAAGAAUAAGAUCUAGCAUUCAGUAGUACAAUAGCACAACUACAGUUAAUAAUUUAUGGUAUAUUUCAAAAUAACUAAAAGGGUGGAAUUGAAAUGUUCCUAACACAAAGAAAUGAUAAAUAUUUGAGGUGAUAGCUACCCUAAUUUGAUCAUUACAUGUUGUAUGCUUGUAUCAAAAUAUCACAUAUGCCCAUAAAUGUGUAUAACUCUUACGUAUCCAUAAUUAAAAUUUGUUAAAUAUAUAUGGUCUGUUUAUGCUAUUAUAAAUGGUAUAUUUACAUUUUCCAAAUGUUUGC